AUUGCCCUAGUAACGGCGAGUGAAGCGGCAACAGCUCAAAUUUGAAAUCUGGCGUUUUUGGCGUCCGAGUUGUAAUUUGCAGAGGGCGCUUUGGCAUUGGCAGCGGUCCAAGUUCCUUGGAACAGGACGUCACAGAGGGUGAGAAUCCCGUACGUGGUCGCUAGCCUUUACCGUGUAAAGCCCCUUCGACGAGUCGAGUUGUUUGGGAAUGCAGCUCUAAAUGGGAGGUAAAUUUCUUCUAAAGCUAAAUACUGGCCAGAGACCGAUAGCGCACAAGUAGAGUGAUCGAAAGAUGAAAAGCACUUUGGAAAGAGAGUUAAAAAGCACGUGAAAUUGUUGAAAGGGAAGCGCUUGCAGCCAGACUUGCCUGUAGUUGCUCAUCCGGGUUUUUACCCGGUGCACUCUUCUAUAGGCAGGCCAGCAUCAGUUUGGGCGGUUGGAUAAAGGUCUCUGUCACGUACCUCCUCUCGGGGAGAACUUAUAGGGGAGACGUAAUGCAACCAGCCUGGACUGAGGUCCGCGCAUCUGCUAGGAUGCUGGCGUAAUGGCUGUAAGCGGCCCGUCUUGAAACACGGACCAAGGAGUCUAACAUCUAUGCGAGUGUUUGGGUGUCAAGCCCGAGCGCGUAAUGAAAGUGAACGGAGGUGGGAACCUUUCGGGGUGCACCAUCGACCGAUCCUGAUGUCUUCGGAUGGAUUUGAGUAAGAGCAUAGCUGUUGGGACCCGAAAGAUGGUGAACUAUGCUUGAAUAGGGUGAAGCCAGAGGAAACUCUGGUGGAGGCUCGCAGCGGUUCUGACGUGCAAAUCGAUCGUCAAAUUUGGGCAUAGGGGCGAAAGACUAAUCGA
rnacentral:rRNA from 1 species